AUGUUCAAGCAGGUUUUUAGAAAAGGAAGAGGAAGCAGAGAUCAAAUUGCCAACAUCUGCUGGAUCAUGGAAAAAGCAAGAGAGUUCCAGAAAAACAUCUAUUUCUGCUUUAUGGACUAUGCCAAAGCCUUUGACUCUGGGGAUCACAAUAAACUGUGGAAAAUUCUGAAAGAGAUGGGAAUACCAGACCACCUAACCCGCCACUUGAGAAAUCUGUAUGCAGGUCAGGAAGCAACAGUUCGAACUGGACAAGGAACAACAGACUGGUUCCAAAUAGGAAUAGGAGUACGUCAAGGCUGUAUAUUGUCACCCUGCUUAUUUAACUUAUAUGCAGAGUACAUCAUGAGAAACGCUGGACUGGAAGAAACACAAGCUGGCAUCAAGAUUGCCGGGAGAAAUAUCAAUAACCUCAGAUAUGCAGAUGACAUCACCUUUAUGGCAGAAAGUGAAGAGGAGCUAAAAAGCCUCUUGAUGAAAGUGAAAGAGGAGAGUGAAAAAGUUGGCUUAAAGCUCAACAUUCAGAAAAUGAAGAUCAUGGCAUCUGGUCCCAUCAUUUCAUGGGAAAUAGAUGGGGAAACAGUGUCAGACUUUAUUUUGGGGGGCUCCAAAAUCACUGCAGAUGGUGAUUGCAGCCAUGAAAUCAAAAGAUGCUUACUCCUUGGAAGAAAAGUUAUGACCAACCUAGACAGCAUAUUAAAAAACAGAGACAUUACUUUGCCAACAAAGGUCUGUCUAGUCAAGGCUAUGGUUUUUCCAGUGGUCAUGUAUGGAUGUGAGAGUUGGACUGUGAAGAAGGCUGAGCACCGAAGAACUGAUGCGUUUGAACUGUGGUGUUGGAGAAGACUCUUGAGGGUCCCUUGGACUGCAAGGAGACCCAACCAGUCCAUCCUAAAGGAGAUCAGUCCUGGGUGUUCAUUGGAAGGACUGAUGUUGAAGCUGAAACUCCAAUACUUUGGCCACCUGAUACGAAGAGUUGACUCAUUGGAAAAGACUCUGAUGCUGAGAGGGAUUGGGGGCAGGAGGAGAAGGGGACGACCGAGGAUGAGAUGGCUGGGUGGCAUCACCGACUCGAUGGAUGUGAGUCUGAGUGAACUCUGGGAGAUGGUGAUGGACAGGGAGGCCUGGCGUGCUGCGAUUCAUGGGGUUGCAAAGAGUCGGACACGACUGAGCGACUGA
rnacentral:lncRNA from 1 species